CUCCGCACACAAUUUAUCCCCUUAUCCAGAAAACAACUUUCAUUUUAGAUGCAGAAUAUUGUAUAUCUUCCAAUUGUGUUCUGUCUUAAAUAAAUUCCAGCUCAAAUAGUAGGUAUCUGAACUUUGGAUAUGGAUAUUUUGGAGCUUUACACUCACAGUCCUAUCCUGAAUUAUAAGCACACGGGGAACCACAGCGACCUCAAAGACGUCUGCUGGGCGGUUCAAACUGUUAAAUGAAAAGCUAAAAGAAGUUUAAUUCAUACCAUUCUAUCUAUUAUAGAACUUAUAAUUGUUGUGCUUCAGUCCGUUCAUGUGACUAUACACGAGACGCAGCAUGUGUUAUGCUUAUACAGCAUAAUCUCAGCUAGUCAACACUGGAGCUAAAGCUCUGGUGUUAAAGGGUUAAGCCUGGUUUUUGGUCUAAUCUAAACCAAUCAGAGAUAUUGAAAGGCACAAGCCCACAUCUGAUUGGUUUGUUCCAGAUUUCCCUGCAUGCCUAUGUAUUCAUUUACUUUCAGAAGAGCUGAGAGAAUCUAGGGUUGUGUCCGAAUACCCCCUAAUCACUAUAUAGUGUGUUUGCCAUUUUGUAGUGCCCCCGUCUAGUUCCUAAUCUACUAAAUCCAAAAUCGAAUGCACUAGAAAUUUCCCAGAAGUCUUUGCGAAAAACUAGCUGGCAUCGAUGAUCACGACAUUAGCAAAUUUAGACCACAAUGCAUGAGACAACCUAGAAGUGUCUGAUAAAUAGGGUGAAUGUAUCCUCAGUGGAUGAGAGCAGAUUAAAAAGACGAGGAGAACUUCUUGUGCAACCCACUCUCACAUUCCAAUGUCCUACAUGUUGGCUCUGCAUGUCAAGUUGUCUCUGUGGCGCAAUCGGUUAGCGCGUUCGGCUGUUAACCGAAAGGUUGGUGGUUCGAGCCCACCCAGGGACGACCUUUUUAUUUGUCCUUAGAAGAGAGAGGUCACCCCCUUUCUUUUCCUUCUUUUGAAAAGGAUUGAUCCUCUGUUUGGGAAAUGGCUGGAAGGAAGUAAAUUCAGUUCUUUGACAUUUUUAAAAUAACAAAGCCAGCUCCUAGGAUCAGCAAGAAUGUCGUGUGAUUUUCUCUUUUGGAUUAAAGACUUUAAACCACAUAAGGUUCUAUAGAGCAGUAGAACCCAACCUUUUCAGGCCACAGAAAGGUUUAAAUUUGACAAUAUUUUCACAGACCGUCCGUACAGGAGUUGGGAUUUUAAAGCCUCCGGUUUCUGAAGAUCUAUUUUAAAAAUGCUACUAUAAUUUAUAAUAUUUUGUUUAAAAGUUAAAAAACAUCAGUCUAUUUUUUUGUAAUAGAUAAUGAAGAUUUAAUGUUCAAAGUUGUUAGUUUGUAGAAGUUGUUUCUGAUUUGAGAAAAUUCCACAGAGGAAACAUAACAUUUGCAGUCAGAGGAAGGUGGAUAAACAGUGAAUGGAUGAGAUCAGAUUUAAACUUGUUUUUUAGAAAGGCCUGAUCCGUAUGAAAAUCAUGAAGACUUGGUUUUAUUGAAUAUGUUUUUUAUUCAGCUGCAUGGACUCAGCAUCAGAAAUGAUUCUAAUCAGUCUGGUAAGAAAGGGAGAAAGUCAAAUGGGUCAUAUAAACAAGUCUCCAAAAUAAAGGAAAACAAACGAAAUGAACACAAAAGUGUGAACUUUUCUAUGGAUCUAAAGAUGGAUGGAGAAAAUCUACAAGACAUGAGGAAAAAUGAGCUGCAAGAGGCGUAAAGAUCCUCAUGUUUCCUGUGGAUGACUGCAGUAGCUGUCUUCAUCAAUCUGUUUAUGGUCUCUGGCUUCACGGUCCAAUAGCGCCUCCUACUGGACCUUUGGUGAAUGUGUGAGGCCAUUCUUCAUCUUUUUCUGACGUUUGGAUGAAGAGACCAUCAAUGUUUUGGUGUAAUUCUGUAGUUUGGACAAUAAAUUGCUUUUAUUUCUUUAAUAUCUUACAUUUUUUUUCCUGUUUUAUUUGUGUAUGUUUUUGUUGCUGCUGCCUCUAGAGAGUUCUCCAUUCAGCUUCAUGCUCUCUUCAGGACUCUCCAUCUACUGCAGCUGGACUCUGAAGAAACACUCCAAACAGGUUUUUGUUUGAAUAGUUUUUUUAUGAACUUGGUUAGUUGAUUCAGGACUCAGAUCAGCUGCUUUAAGAAGGUAACGGAUGGAUUUAAGACCGAGGAGAACAACUGAACAUGCACCAAGACGAAGACAGAGAGAAUCCCAUAGUUUUUCAAAAUAAAACUUCCUUCAGAAUCAGUAAAUAAACUCUGCUCAGGUGUCCUGCAGACGCUUCUAGCCGUGAUUUUGUCGGAGCUCAAAUGCAGACAGAACCUGUGAUGCAGCUCUGGACUCUCUGAAUGUUUCUGUCGGAGGAGACGAUGAAGAUGAAGCUCCACGUCUCCUUCUCACUGUCAUCUUCAUCCAUCAGCUGCACAACAAGCUGAACUUGGAUGGAGGUGAAACGUCCCGGUGUUCGAGUCCCUGUUCUCUCUGGAAGAGGCAGGCGCUCCAACUCCUGCUAAGGUUCUGAUGGAGUUCUGAUGUUUCCUGUGAGCUUCUUCAAGGUGUUUGAUUGGUUCACCAAAGUAGGAGGAGUCAGAAGAUGUGUUGGUGUCUGCAGACCAAACCGACAGUUUGAUUGUUACACACAUCAGCAUCAGUUUGUUGUUGUUUACCUCGUUGUUUGUUUGUUUGUUUGUGCAGACUCUCCUUCAGCUUAGAUCCAUUCUAACCACCAUCUUCUUCUGCCCUCCCUCAGAUGACGGCGCGGGUUCUGGAAGGUUCUGUUUGAAGCUCUUCAGUCCUGCAGAUGUUUUCAGAAGAACCCGAUCUUCCUCCUCUUCCUCGUCUACAUCAGAGAAGGUUCUUCUUCCUGUUGGUUCUGCUGACAG